rnacentral:miRNA from 1 species
UCUAGGGCUAAAGUCUCAUGGGCAGCAGCUCACUCAUUCAUUCAUCAGCUAUUUCCUGCAGGCCUACUGUGUGCCAGGGAUUGCACCUG